AGGAGACUGUCUCGGAUCUCUGGAGGACUCCUUGCCGUCAGCUGUUGAUCUUAACACCACCUGGACAUAGAAGAGAGGAGGGAAUUGCACCACAUCGGUGAAGAUCACCUACAGUGGCUGCUUGGCGAUUCUGUGCUUGCUGCUGACCAGUGCAGUCAACAGGUCUGCGCCC